rnacentral:rRNA from 1 species
AUGGUUUCUUCGCAGCCUGCGGUACUGGUUGGGGAUUCCCUUUACUGGAUACUUAAAGGUGGUUCGGAAUGUAUCCUUGAGUUCGAUUUGCAGAGUGAGAGCCUAGCCUUUGUACAGAUGCCAGUGGAUAGGAUUAAUGUCCCCUGCUAUACACCGAUGCGGGCAGAUGAUGGUGAGCUGGGUUUACUCUCCGUGACUGGCACCACCGCCCAAUUAUGGAAGAGGAAGGCCGGUUGUGAUGGUGCUACACCAUGGUGGGUGGGAAGAACUAUUGAGCUGGACAAGCUACUUUCUCUGGAUUCAGGGGAGUCUACAUGGAUACAAGGGUUCGCUGAGGACAAGAAUUUGGUGUUCCUGUGUGCUGGCAGCAGCAACUUCACGGUCCAACUCGAAUCUUUGCAGUUGAAGAAACUUUCCAACCCCAGAAUGGAUCGCUAUCAUCCAUUUGGAAGUGUCUAUGCUGCAGGGAAAUACAGCCCUUUUUUCACUCGUGGGGAGGCUGCAAGGCAACAAGCUUGGGACAUGCAGAAUAACCAAGAGGACACAAACUGCAGCAAGUAG